CUCUUUCCAACGCUGUACAAAAGGACAGAGGCUGUUCCCCAUGGCAGAAGGCAACCACAGAAAAAAGCCACUUAAGAUGUUGGAAUCCCUGGGCAAAGAUUUCCUCACUGGUGUUUUGGAUAACUUGGUGGAACAAAAUGUACUGAACUGGAAGGAAGAGGAAAAAAAGAAAUAUUAUGAUGCUAAAACUGAAGACAAAGUUCGGGUCAUGGCAGACUCUAUCCAAGAGAAGCAACGUAUGGCAGGACAAAUGCUUCUUCAAACCUUUUUUAACAUAGACCAAAUAUCCCCCAAUAAAAAAGGAUAUGGAGUCAGCGCUGAGGGCAUUUGCUACCAGACCAGAGCACAAGUCCUCUGACAGCACGUUCUUGGUACUCAUGUCUCAUGGCAUCCUGGAGGGAAUCUGCGGAACUGUGCAUGAUGAGAAAAAACCAGAUGUGCUGCUUUAUGACACCAUCUUCCAGAUAUUCAACAACCGCAACUGCCUCAGUCUGAAGGACAAACCCAAGGUCAUCAUUGUCCAGGCCUGCAGAGGUGCAAACCAUGGGGAACUGUGGGUCAGAGACUCUCCAGCAUCCUUGGAAGUGGCCUCUUCACAGUCAUCUGAGAACC
rnacentral:sRNA from 1 species